rfam:Triticum aestivum genome assembly, contig: Triticum_aestivum_CS42_TGACv1_scaffold_271994_3DS
UGUAUACUCCCUCCGGCCGAAAAAGCUUGUCCCUCAAAUGGAUGUAUCUAACACCAAGUUAGUGCUAGAUACAUCCAUUUGAGAAACAAGCUUGUGACAAGCUUUUUCGGACGGAGGGAGUACUUG